AGUGAACGCUGGCGGCAGGCCUAACACAUGCAAGUCGAGCGGCAGCGCGGGGGCAACCCUGGCGGCGAGCGGCGGACGGGUGAGGAAUUCGUCGGAAUCUGCCUUUUUGUGGGGGAUAACGUAGCGAAACUUACGCUAAUACCGCAUACGUCCUACGGGAGAAAGUGGGGGACCGCAAGGCCUCACGCAGAAAGAUGAGCCGACGACCGAUUAGCUAGUUGGUGGGGUAAAGGCCCACCAAGGCGACGAUCGGUAGCUGGUCUGAGAGGAUGAUCAGCCACACUGGGACUGAGACACGGCCCAGACUCCUACGGGAGGCAGCAGUGGGGAAUAUUGGACAAUGGGCGCAAGCCUGAUCCAGCCAUGCCGCGUGUGUGAAGAAGGCCUUCGGGUUGUAAAGCACUUUUGUCCGGAAAGAAAUCCCUGGAGCUAAUACCUUCGGGGGAUGACGGUACCGGAAGAAUAAGCACCGGCUAACUUCGUG
rnacentral:rRNA from 1 species